rnacentral:rRNA from 1 species
GACGCAGCAUGCCGCGUGAUGAGAAGGCCUUCGGGUUGUAAAGUUCUUUCGGUAUUGAGGAAGGGAUGUGUGCUAAUAGUACACGUCAUUGACGUUAAAUACAGAAGAAGCACCGGCUAACUCCGUGCCAGCAGCCGCGGUAAUACGGAGGGUGCGAGCGUUAAUCGGAAUAACUGGGCGUAAAGGGCACGCAGGCGGUUAUUUAAGUGAGGUGUGAAAGCCCCGGGCUUAACCUGGGAAUUGCAUUUCAGACUGGGUAACUAGAGUACUUUAGGGAGGGGUAGAAUUCCACGUGUAGCGGUGAAAUGCGUAGAGAUGUGGAGGAAUACCGAAGGCGAAGGCAGCCCCUUGGGAAUGUACUGACGCUCAUGUGCGAAAGCGUGGGGAGCAAACA